rnacentral:rRNA from 1 species
AUUGAACGCUGGCGGCAUGCCUUACACAUGCAAGUCGAACGGUAGCGGGCCUUCGGGUGCCGACGAGUGGCGAACAGGUGAGUAAUGUAUCGGAACGUACCUCUCAGUGGGGGAUAACGUAGCGAAAGUUACGCUAAUACCGCAUAUUCUGUGCGCAGGAAAGCAGGGGACCUUCGGGCCUUGCGCUGAUUGAGCGGCCGAUAUCAGAUUAGCUAGUUGGUGAGGUAAAGGCUCACCAAGGCAACGAUCUGUAGCGGGUCUGAGAGGAUGACCCGCCGCACUGGAACGGGGACACGGUCCAGACUCCUACGGGGGGCAGCAGUGGGGAAUUGUGGACAAUGGGGGCAACCCUGAUCCAGCCAUGCCGCGUGAGUGAAGAAGGCCUUCGGGUUGUAAAGCUCUUUCGGCCGGGAAGAAAUCGUAUCAGCUAAUACCUGGUGCGGAUGACGGUACCGGCAUAAGAAGCACCGGCUAACUACGUGCCAGCAGCCGCGGUAAAAC